rnacentral:rRNA from 1 species
UAAGGAAUAUUGCUCAAUGGGAGAAAUCCUGAAGCAGCAACGCCGCGUGGAGGAUGAAGGGUCUAUGACUUGUAAACUCCUGUAAAGAAGGAAAAAAUUCCCAUUUGAUGGGAGAUGAUGGUACUUCUGGAGUAAGCCCAGGCUAACUACGUGCCAGCAGCCGAGGUAAUACGUAGGGGGCAAGCGUUGUCAGGAUUUACUGGGUGAAAAGGGUGCUCAGGCGGAUUUGUAAGUCAGAGGUGAAAUCUUACAGCUUAACUGUGAAACUGCCAUUGAUACUGCAAGCCUAGAGUAUGGAAGAGAGUGAUUGAAUAUCUGGGGUAGCAGUGAAAUGCUUAGAUAUCAGAUAGAACACCAAUUGCGAAGGCAGUCACUUGGUCCAUUACUGACGCUAAAGCACGAAAGCGUGGGUAGCAAACA